rnacentral:rRNA from 1 species
GACGAAGGAUGCAAGCGUUAUCCGGAUUUAUUGGGCGUAAAGAGCUCGUAGGUGGUUCGGUAAGUCGGGUGUUAAACCCCCAGGCUCAACCUGGGGACGCCACUCGAUACUGCUGUGACUUGAGUCCGGUAGGGGAGCGUGGAAUUCCUGGUGUAGCGGUGAAAUGCGCAGAUAUCAGGAGGAACACCAGCGGCGAAGGCGGCGCUCUGGGCCGGUACUGACACUGAGGAGCGAAAGCGUGGGUAGCAAACAGG